AACGAACGCUGGCGGCAUGCCUAACACAUGCGAGUCGAACGACACCUUCGGGUCUAGUGGCGCACGGGUGCGUAACGCGGGGGAACCUGCCCUUAGGUUCGGAAUAACUCCCCGAAAGGGGUGCUAAUACCGGAUAAUGUCUUCGGACCAAAGAUUUAUCGCCUUUGGAUGGGCCCGCGUUGGAUUAGCUAGUUGGUAGGGCAAAAGCCUACCAAGGCGACGAUCCAUAGCUGGUCUGAGAGGAUGAUCAGCCACACUGGGACUGAGACACGGCCCAGACUCCUACGGGAGGCAGCAGUGGGGAAUAUUGGACAAUGGGCGAAAGCCUGAUCCAGCAAUGCCGCGUGAGUGAUGAAGGCCUUAGGGUUGUAAAGCUCUUUUACCCGGGAUGAUAAUGACAGUACCGGGAGAAUAAGCGCCGGCUAACUCCGUG
rnacentral:rRNA from 1 species